rnacentral:rRNA from 1 species
UCCUAGAGAUAGGAAGUUCCUUCGGGACACGGGAUACAGGUGGUGCAUGGUUGUCGUCAGCUCGUGUCGUGAGAUGUUGGGUUAAGUCCCGCAACGAGCGCAACCCUUAUUGUUAGUUGCCAUCAUUAAGUUGGGCACUCUAGCGAGACUGCCGGUAAUAAACCGGAGGAAGGUGGGGAUGACGUCAAAUCAUCAUGCCCCUUAUGACCUGGGCUACACACGUGCUACAAUGGUUGGUACAACGAGUCGCAAGACAGUGAUGUCAAGCUAAUCUCUUAAAGCCAAUCUCAGUUCGGAUUGUAGGCUGCAACUCGCCUACAUGAAGUCGGAAUCGCUAGUAAUCGCGGAUCAGCACGCCGCGGUGAAUACGUUCCCGGGCCUUGUACACACCGCCCGUCACACCACGAGAGUUUGUAAUACCCAAAGCCGGUGAGCUAACCUUUUAGGAGGCAGCCGUCUAAGGUAGGAUAGAUGAUUGGGGUGAAGUC